UCUAUCGUCACACGUCAAUUACCAGUUCCCUAAUUACGAAAAGUUUCAUAUGACAUUAACCUCAAAAAUGAUCUUUGAAAACAAACAACAACAAACAGAGCAACAAAUGAACAAAUAACUACAUAAUGACUGAUAAUGAUAAGUGAUUAUUAUUAUCACUUUAAUGAUAUGAAGGCUGAUGAAGUUUUAGACAACCAAUACAAGAUUUUAGAACUUGACAUCGUGAUAAACAAAUUGUACAUUCAGGAACUCGUUUAAAUAUUAUAGGUUGAUUGACGAAUACUCUACAGUUGAUUAGAGCCCAUGAUGAUGCGAAGAUAAUUAAUAUCACCUAAAUUCAAGAAACCAGCGUAAAGAAGUUUACAUUCACAACUCAUCUAACCAUUAUAGAUCAGUAGUGUCGUCAUAAUUUAAAUGAACUCACAGAUAGCAAUGGGGCACUGCACCGAAGCAGUAUUACAAAAUAUGUGAAAUAAAACUGUAAUACAAAUUGCUCUAUAAAAUUUAAUAGAAAUAAAUUUAUUU